rnacentral:rRNA from 1 species
UAACACGUGGGCAACCUGCCUCAUAGAGGGGAAUAGCCUUCCGAAAGGGAGAUUAAUACCGCAUAAGAUUGUAGCUUCGCAUGAAGUAGCAAUUAAAGGAGUAAUCCGCUAUGAGAUGGGCCCGCGGCGCAUUAGCUAGUUGGUGAGGUAACGGCUCACCAAGGCGACGAUGCGUAGCCGACCUGAGAGGGUGAUCGGCCACAUUGGGACUGAGACACGGCCCAGACUCCUACGGGAGGCAGCAG